rnacentral:rRNA from 1 species
CCGCCCGUCACACCAUGGAAGUGAUUGCACCAGAAGCAGGUAGCCUGACCGCAAGGAGGGCGCCUACCACGGUGUGGUCCAUGACUGGGGUG